AUACAUUGUUAAAGUUUGAAGAGAGUUAAAAAAGAGAGGAAAAAAAAAAAAAAGAGAAAGUAAAUAAAUAAACGUUCACAACUCUAUAUAGAGAUGCUAGAAGUCGAAACAUAUAAUUACUAUGCAGAAAUUGUAAUAUUGUAUUUCAGUAUAUGGACGAGUACCAAAAAAAAAAAAAAUGACAUUUUAAGUUUUCACUCAGAAAAAAAUUUUUUUCGAGGGCCGGUUUUUGACAAUUCAGUGAAAAUUUCCAGAUUAAAAGCAAUGCAAAGGGAUUUAAUCUUAUUUCCGAUUCUGUCAGUGUCUUUUUUUGGAACCUAGCACUUUUACCAAGAUGUUAUGGCAAGAAAGUAAAUUCGGCUACAGAAAGCGACUUUUAGCAUAAAACGUUAUUUCAAUACACAUCACGUCUGACUAGACUAUGUAUAGCAACAAUGAUUCAUCGGCUUAGCAAAGCACAACAUUAAAUCAGGGAACGUACUUUAUUCCAAAAUAGUUGACACUUCGAGUGAUUUACACAAUUUUGAAUACACAUAUAUAUAUAUACAUGUAUAUAUAUAUAUUGGCUUAAUAGAAAAACAAUUUUUUUAAUUCUUUUAACUGCUUUAAAACCGAUUAAAAAAUUUGCCAAAUAAGAAAAAACAUUUUUAAUCGUAUUUGGCUUUGGAUGACAUUUUUUCUUAUUAUCGACCUAUCUGAAGAGAAGAAAGGAUUAAAAAAAAAUCGUAAAUAUUCUCCAGUUAACUUUUCAACGUUUCGACAGUUUUCUGAAUACUUAACGUAAUGAAAACUUACUGAAAAAAAAGAUAAUUUGUGUAUAUUUAUGGUUUACAAUUUGUAUUAUUUUAAACGUGGAAGCAAUCCUACAAAAUGGGGAAAAAAAAAGUUGCUCAUGAUGGUAAUUAAUUUUAUUAUUAUUAUUUUUUAUUGAUUUGAUUGUAAAUUAUAAACGUGUUUGAUUAUCGUCUUCCUAACAUAAACGUAGUAUUAUCGAUAAAUAUGUGAUCAGCGCUUUAUUGCCGUCCAAUAUUAAUCCUUAUCAGUUGCUGUUUCGAUAUGUUAACAAAAAAAAAAAAAAAAACAAGAGUUAUAAACAAAGUAGAAGAGUUAAAGUUUGAAAAUAAUUUAGUAUAUAAUGUGCUUAAAAAAAUCCGAACGAAUAAUUACUGUUAACUCAAAAAAAAUUUAGUAUUUUUAAUUUUUUUUUUAAGUUAACAUCAGCAAAACUUUAAUCGCUAUUUAUCUGAAACGUUUGUUAACAAGAAUGUAUGAAAUUUCACACAAAAAUCUUUUCGCAACUUUUGU
rnacentral:lncRNA from 1 species